AUUGAACGCUGGCGGCAGGCCUAACACAUGCAAGUCGAGCGGAACGGCGGGCGGGUGGGUAAUGCCUAGGAAUCUACCUGGUAGUGGGGGAUAACGUCCGGAAACGGACGCUAAUAACUCCUACUUUCAGAUGAGCCUGGGUCGGAUUGGCUAGUUGGUGGGGUAGGGGCCCACCAAGGCGACGAUCCGUAACUGGUCUGAGAGGAUGAUCAGUCACACUGGAACUGAGACACGGUCCAGACUCCUACGGGAGGCAGCAGUGGGGAAUAUUGGACAAUGGGCGAAAGCCUGAUGCAGCCAUGCCGCGUGUGUGAAGAAGGGCUUCGGAUUGUAAAGCACUUUAAGCGGGGAGGCGUUACCAACAGAAGAAGCACCGGCUAACUCCGUGCCAGCAGCCGCGGUAAUUC
rnacentral:rRNA from 1 species